rnacentral:lncRNA from 1 species
CCGGGACACCGAGGGAAGAGGCCGGAGGGAGAUCACGGAGGGGAGGGGGCGGGAGGGGGGUGGGGUAUCCUGAGUCGUCCGUGGUCCGGAGUCUGGAAGGCCCUAGAGCGGCGCCAGUCGACCCGCCUCGCCACAACUUGCCCAGACCAGACACGUUUCAUCCUGCGCCCUGCAAGAAGGAGUCGGCCUGCCUUUCUCCGCUUUGCUGCUCCUCGGCCUCCGCGGGCCCGGCCCGCGUCAGCAGCGACCCUGGGGUCUGGGUCCCCUGUGUCGCCCCCGCCCGCCUGCAGCGCCCGGCACCCGCCCAGGAGCGCGCAGCUGGGGUGCUAGGGACAUAUACUUGAGCAAGAGAGACCACAGCUCUUGUUCCCGCUGAUCCUGCAGCCCAGUGGAUGGAGUCCAGAAUCUACAGACCUGCCAGGAAAGAAAAAAAAUUCCUGAUGUCUGGUCCAAGCAGGAAUUCCCCGGUGGAUUGGGGAAUGUCUGGCUUUUCCUCAGCUUAUUGAUCUCUGUGGUAACCACUGGAGGCCCCCAGAAGACCCAUAGAAAUGAGAGGCCUGAGGUCUACAAGUCGCUGCUAGAAAUAUUUUAGCCUCUCCAAAGCCCAGAAUGCAGCCCCGACCCAAGUUUGUAAGGGUUCUGGGUGCACGCUGACCCUGCGCGGGCAGACGCGCCCUUUGCUCCAGGUCCGGACCUGGGCGCUGCUAUAGCAACGUCCUGGA